UGGGGAAUAUUGCACAAUGGGCGCAAGCCUGAUGCAGCCAUGCCGCGUGUGUGAAGAAGGCCUUCGGGUUGUAAAGCACUUUCAGCGGGGAGGACGGCGUUAAGGUUAAUAACCUUGGCGAUUGACGUUACCCGCAGAAGAAGCACCGGCUAACUCCGUGCCAGCAGCCGCGGUAAUACGGAGGGUGCAAGCGUUAAUCGGAAUUACUGGGCGUAAAGCGCACGCAGGCGGUCUGUCAAGUCGGAUGUGAAAUCCCCGGGCUCAACCUGGGAACUGCAUUCGAAACUGGCAGGCUAGCGUCUUGUAGAGGGGGGUAGAAUUCCAGGUGUAGCGGUGAAAUGCGUAGAGAUCUGGAGGAAUACCGGUGGCGAAGGCGGCCCCCUGGACAAAGCCUGACGCUCAGGUGCGAAAGCGUGGGGAGCAAACAGG
rnacentral:rRNA from 1 species